CUGAGUCUACGAACUCCCAACCAUUGUGAACAUACCCUACGUUGCUUCGGCGGUCACGCCCCGGGACGCGCGCUCCGGCGCCGUGCUCCCGGGCCAAGGCGUCCGCCGGAGGCCCCAAACUACACUGCAACUAUGGAUCUAUCUGAGUGGCAUAAGCAAAUAAAUCA
rnacentral:misc_RNA from 1 species